rnacentral:rRNA from 1 species
GGACGAACGCUGGCGGCGUGCCUAAUACAUGCAAGUCGAACGCUCUUUUCUUAUCGAACUUCGGUUCACCGAGAAAAGGGAGUGGCGAACGGGUGAGUAACACGUGGGUAACCUACCCAGUCAGCGGGGGAUAACACUUGGAAACAGGUGCUAAUACCGGAUAACAACAUGAAUCGCAUGAUUCAAGUUUGAAAGGCGGACGUAAAGACUUGUACAACUUUAGGAUGAGCCCGCGGCGCAUUAGCUAGUUGGUGGGGUAAAGCCUACAAGGCAAUGAUGCGUAGCCGAGUUGAGAGACUGAUCGGCCACAUUGGGACUGAGACACGGCCCAAACUCCUACGGGAGCAGCAGUAGGAAUC